UGAGGCCUGAGCAACAAGCAUUGUGGAUU
rnacentral:piRNA from 1 species